ACUAGACUUAUGCACAGGAGAAAGAAUUUGCUUUUUGUGAACCAUUUCGUCCCCCCAAACGUUUUGCUCAGUUGAUCCGAAGUUUGCCCACGCAGUGCUUAAGUUUUCGUUUAUGCAACGAUUUUGGUAAGAACUAUUCAGGUGAAUGAAAAUGACUUGAAAAUACACCUAUCAGUGUACUGCAAAAUAUAUGCAUAAUAUUUACAUGUAUGUGCAUUCUGACGGACCUUGGGUUUAUUUAUUUCAUUUAUUUGAUUUAGUGACUGUUCCUUAACCAUCAGUUAUCUUUUUCUGGGCCGUCAUGGACGGAACUACGAAUUACAACAAUUCAGUCAAAUGGCAAUUCAGAGUUAGGUAAUCUGGACGUUUUACUGAUCACACAAAUCAUGAUUCGGUCAAAACUGAAUGCACCAGUCUGUCACCACUCCAAUGGGCAUUAAAGGGUAAGCUCUCCUAGACUAAACUCUUAGGUGAUACCUAAACUAAUUAUUCACCUUGAGGCCUUUAGUUAAAAUGCAUAAUCUCUUAUAAGACAGAUUUUUUUAAUUUUAUUUUUUUAAUUCUCCAGUUCAGCUUAUUUGACCUAAAACAUGUCCUUGAAUCCUACUUUUAUUAUACCUUUCAUUUAAAUAAAGAACAAUUCCAAAUGGUUUGAUUGAUUUACACAAUCAAAAAUGAGUAACAACAAACUAAAGUAGUAAACAAAAUGAAUUUAUGAACUACAUAUCAUGCAGUGAAGUAGAAAUAAAUAAAUUAAUUGGCAUAGUAUGGACUACUGAUAAGUAUGUUAUAAGAACAAAAGUGUCUAUCACGAUAUCAUCUUCCGUUUCGCUUCUCCCCUUUACUGAUGUCUGCAGAUGCAGCUGGUUUUUAACUGUGCAUGUCAUCUCAUUGGGUUAAAUAGGCAGAGUUUAACAAGUCAGUGGGGUCAGUGCACCACCAUUUUUAAACUUCACUAGCUGCCAAUGGUAUGACGGAUUGAGAUGGUUUGAAUGGUUUUGCAUUAAACUCUGAUUGAAGUAACACUUCACCAUAACCAGUACACAAAAACAAGCUGUAAUGGUUAUGGUACCAGGAGUGCCCUGGCGCCAACCAUUAUUGUGUAUUUAAACUGCUAUCGAGAGGCUUAACUUCAUACUUGGGUUCUUCCAGAUGUCGCUCCCUUCCUCCACUGAAGCUAGAAGCUUUCUGCCGGAGCUAAACCCAGCUAUGCAGGACUUAGUUAAUUUGCAGAGAGCGAUCAGCUUAGUUCAGGAGAGUUAAGGGAAGCUCCCUAGCAUGAGUUACAAACUCUCCUGGUAGCUGAAAGGUCACCUACCAGCAGACAAAAAAUAAAUAUAAAAAAACAGUUCUAAAAUGGUUUUACUACAUUAAAUGGGCACUAGUGGCACCUUGACCAAUAUAUCGCUCUGUAGUAGUUAUCCAGUUUCCAGUGUUCCUUUAAUUCAUCUACCAUGAACUUGUCAACCUUUUUAUGUACACAUGUUGGACAAUAGUGACACCUAGUGGAUUAAGAAGAUAGCUACUAACCAGAGAACUUUAAACUUUUGAAACUCAUCUGUUGCAAGGGAUAUAUUUAAAAUGAGAUACAGAGUUACUACUGAAUAAUAAUGUGGUAAAUUUAAAAAAAUGAAGAGAGAACAUCAACAUUGAUUCUCGAAUCUGUCAUGUAUAAUGAAUGUGGAUGCAAAAAGACAGGGAACACAUAUAUAUAUAUAUAUAUAUCAUUUUUUAAGGCCCUUGCCUCAUCAUCCCAGUUUUUUACCACAAGUCCUGCUUCUGAGAUCCACAAGAAGCCUAGAACAGAAGGAAGGAACACGUUGUGAAAUAUGUGAGAACAUGUAUUUGCUUCAAUACUUCCAUUGCUUAGCUUCAAGGGCAGCUUAGCCCACAGGAGGGAUUGCAGGACACAUUUUCGUCUCUCCAAAAUCAGAUUGAAAAUUGGAUUACCACAGAGGACAGGAUUCUAUUCAUUUACCAGGCCUAUCUGGAAUAGCGUAGGCAAAAUUAGAUUUUGGCACUUUUCUUAUUGGACUACUUGAAACAGGUUUUAGUGUUUUUUUAAAUACUAAAUUUGGUAUGAUCUUUGUGCAUUCUAAAAUUUAGACUUGUGCAUGGCAAAAAAAAUUUUAUUUGUCCGAAAUGAUUUGCACAAUUUUUUUUCUAAUUUCAAAUUUCGCACAGGAAUGUUUCAGUUCGCCCAAAUAUCUACACCCAUGAGAAAUGAUUCAGAUGAAUCGGAAAUUUUUUUUUCAGAUGCAUUAGAAAAAAGUUUGACUCCCAUGUUAGUAAAAGGGAGGUAUAAUGAACUUUCUGAUAGUCUCAUCUCUCAAGACUUUACUGAGACUCACUGCAAGUUUUAGAAACAUAGAAUGUGACGGCAGAUAAGAACCAUUCGACCCAUCGAGCCUGCCCAAUUUUCUAAAUACUUUCAUUAGUCCCUGGCCUUAUCUUAUAGUUAGGAUAGCCUUAUGCCUAUAAACUCACUCACCAUAUUAACCUCUACCACUUCAGCUGGAAGGCUAUUUCAUGCAACCACUACCCUCUAUGUAAAGUAAUAUUUCCUGAUAUUUUUAAACCUUUACUGUGUCGAUUCCCUUUAUGAAUUUAAAUGUUUUUAUCAUAUUCCCCUCCGUCUCGUCUUUCCUCCAAGCUAUACAUGUUAAGAUCCUUUAACCUUUCCUUGUUAGUUUUAUCCUGCAAUCCAUGAACCAGUAUAGAAAUACACCUCAUCUAACCACUGGACAACCUCCAGCAUGACUUUUGUUAGGUCGAGUACUCAGGACAAAGUUGGAUCCAUUAAAGCCUGAGAUUCAGCAUAGGGUCAUCAAACAACAAUCGAAGUUGCAAGGCACAAAAGCAGGCCGUUGUUAUCAGAUAGAGGAUUCUGUUUGGAUGCGUGCAUAUCAUCAGGAGAAUCGUUGGCAAGCAGCGGUGAUAACAGAAGUUCUGGGGUCAGCACACUAUAAAGGUUUAGCCCCAAAUGGAUAUUGAAACCGGACAAUGAUAUCUGGCACGGAGUGUGACAUGAUGACGAUUCUGAAGUCUGCAAUAUACCUGCUCCUGAGCUCAAGAUAGAGAUCAUUUUCAUAUCAUAGGGAUGAUUUGGAAGCAAUAUUCCACAAUACUCAGGAAAAAUAAGUUCCAAGUCACAGUACAAGUAACUAUGAAGGCCGUGGUCAAGAAAAUACUGGCCAUUUCACAAGAGAGAGAUGGGCCCCAAACCGAUGACAACUGCAAGAUCCAUUAAAAGACUAUAUUCAGAAAAACUCCACAGUGAGAAAGCGUAAAUGGUAUCCUAGCACAAGUAGAAUAAGUUAUCCUGAAACAAAGAUUGUGGAUCUGAAAGAUGAUGGACAAAAGAAGGAGCAUACAUGCAAUAAAGAUGCUAUCUUGAUCUAUUGCUGCAUAUUACAUAGGUUCCAGGUCUUUUAAUCCCUUGUUGGAACAUGGUCAGUGUUAAGAUUUUCCUAUUGUAUGGUGGAUUAUUCACUAAAGUGAGAAUUCAAGGUGAAUUUCAAAUUAUAGGUAUUAGCAGCCAAACUGGAAACAUUGUCCAAGCCAGCUAUGCUUUCAGCUUCAGCCUCAGCCUUAAAGGAAUACUAUAGAAUCAUGAACACAUAUGUAUUCCUGAUCCUAUAGUGUUAAAAACACACUCUAGCCCCCCUAAAUAUAGUAAUAUCUUACCUUUAUUCAAGCCUACUGUUGCUGGCUCUUCCCCUAACCUGCCUCCUUGGCUGACAUCAGAAGUGUUGAUCUGAGCCAAUCACAAUGCUUUCCCAUUGGAUUGGCUGAGAUUGCAAAGGGGGUGGGGCAGAGAAGUAGCCAAAUGCCACCCUGUCCAAUCAGCAUCUCCUCAUAGAGAUGAAUUGAAUCAACGCAUCUCUAUGAGUAAAGUUCAGUCUCUCAAUGCAGAGGAUGGAGACGCUGAAUGGCACAUUGUGCAACACUGCCCCAUCUGAUGAGUGGCCACUGGAGGAGUCCCUAGGCUGUAAUGUAAACAAUGAUUUUUCUCUGAAAAAACAGUGCUUACAGCAAAAAGCAUGCAGAGACAGACUAUACUCAGUACUAGUUGUUCUGGUAUCUAGUGUCCCUUUAAAUUUAAAAUUCCCUUUUAUAUCUCACUUUAGUGAAUAACUCUGCAUUAGUGUUUUAGCUAACCUACACACAAGGUUUGUUCUUCCCAGCACCAAAAAAAAUUACAUUAAACAAAGUUUAUUAAUAUUAAUUGGGAACAUGGAAAACAUGCUGAAUCAUUUCCGAAAAUUGACCCUGUCUAGAAUUUUUGGGAACUCUAGAAAAGCAAGGCUGGAGAGUCAAAGUAUAUCCACCCCAUCACAUUUCUGUAUGGUAGUUAAUUUUGCUCAGAACAUCCAAUAUUCAAUUCUGGAUUCAGAGGACAAGUGUUAUUUUAGUUACUCUUUAAUAACAGUUCAUGGUAUAGCAAACUUCCUGCUCUCCCUGUUACUAAUGAAGGUUUAUUGCUCAACAGUUUAAAAUGCUCUCUACUAGUUUUGAUACCCUGCCACAUGCACAUCCAAAUGCUUCUCAUAGGAAAGUAUUACAUUCACUGCUUUCGUAUGAGCUGUAACCUCAUGUGACCGAGUAUUACGUUGUUGUUGUUGUUGUUGUUGUUGUUGUUGUUGAAAACGCACCUCAAGGGACUGUCUGGAAUGGAGCUACUAUUAAGUGUGUUUAAGCCUUCGAAGUAAAAAUUGCACUUUCUAUAAAACUACACUGUUUUACAUUGCAGGGUUAAAUGAACAACUGCAUCCAAACCACUUCACUGAUAUGAAUCCUUUAAGACUGGACUUGUCAUUUACCCAGGUCAGAAGUAGGUUUCAACAAUUACACCUAUUUACAUAAACCUAAUAAGGUGGGUGGGUACACUUGGAGAUAGUUUCAUUCUUCAUCAUGGAAGGGGACAUGUACUGUUAAGGCUUACACCACAUUGGACACAAAACAUUGUUUUUCAUCAUGUCUUGUUUCUUAGUUUCUCAAGCAUGCAAAUGAAUCAGUAGGAUGUUGGACCCUGCCUUGAUGAAUUUCAAAUACUAAUUAAUACUACCUUCAAACAUGCAUUAGUAAAUCAUUUAAUCAUGGAUACUCCUUUAUUAUAUGUUAAAUAUCUUUGUGGCUACUUCAUUGUAUUAUUAUUCAUAGUUACUAUGUACCUUUCAUUGUCCACUGGAAGUUUCCUGCCUGAGCAUUUUUUGUUUUCUUUUUUGAAAACACCUUUUUUCUAUUUCCAUUGUAGAUCCUGACUUCCAAGAAAUGUUCUCUCUCCUUUGAAGGUUGUAAGUAAUAUGAUGUAUGUUGAGAAUAACAUAUAUGCUUGGGCCAAGAUCACUGUAAGAAC